rnacentral:rRNA from 1 species
AUGAACGCUGGCGGCGUGCCUAAUACAUGCAAGUCGAGCGAACAGAUGAGGAGCUUGCUCCUCUGACGUUAGCGGCGGACGGGUGAGUAACACGUGGAUAACCUACCUAUAAGACUGGGAUAACUUCGGGAAACCGGAGCUAAUACCGGAUAAUAUAUUUAACCGCAUGGUUCAAUAGUGAAAGACGGUUUUGUUGUUACUUAUAGAUGGAUCCGCGCCGCAUUAGCUAGUUGGUAAGGUAACGGCUUACCAAGGCAACGAUGGGUAGCCGACCUGAGAGGGUGAGCGGCCAGACUGGAACUGAGACACGUUACAGAAUCCUACGGGAGGAGGCAGUAGGGAAUCUUCCGCAAUGGGCGAAAGCCUGACGGAGCAACGCGGGGUGAGUGAUGAAGGUGUUCGGAUCGUAAAACUCUGUUAUUAGGGAAGAACAAAUGUGUAAGUAACUAUGCACGUCUUGACGGUACCUAAUCAGAAAGCUACGGCUAACUACGUG